rnacentral:rRNA from 1 species
UGGGGAAUCUUGGACAAUGGGCGCAAGCCUGAUCCAGCCAUGCCGCGUGAGUGAAGAAGGUCUUCGGAUUGUAAAGCUCUUUUUGGCGGGGACGAUAAUGACGGUACCCGCAGAAUAAGCCCCGGCUAACUUCGUGCCAGCAGCCGCGGUAAUACGAAGGGGGCUAGCGUUGUUCGGAAUUACUGGGCGUAAAGCGCACGUAGGCGGACUGAUAAGUCAGGGGUGAAAUCCCGGGGCUCAACCUCGGAACUGCCUUUGAUACUGUUAGUCUCGAGUCCGGAAGAGGUGAGUGGAAUUCCUAGUGUAGAGGUGAAAUUCGUAGAUAUUCGCAAGAACACCAGUGGCGAAGGCGGCUCACUGGCCCGAUACUGACGCUGAGGCACGAAAGCGUGGGGAGCAAACAGGAUUAGAUACCCCAGUAGUCCCUGAGCGGGCUGGCAAGGCGCAU